GUCCUUUUGAUAAUAAUUUAAGGUCUAACCUGCCCACUGAUAAUUUAAAUGGCCGCGGUAUUUUGACCGUGCAAAGGUAGCAUAAUCAUUAGUUUUUUAAUUAAAAGCUGGAAUGAAUGGUUGGAUAAAAAAAAAUCUGUCUCUUUUUAAUUUUUUUAGAAUUUUAUUUUUAAGUUAAAAAGCUUAAAUAUAUUUAAAAGACGAGAAGACCCUAUAGAGUUUAAUAAAAUAGAAUUAUUAAUUUUUAGUAUUAAAAUUUAAUAUUUAAAAUUUUAUUUGAUUGGGGUGAUUAAAAAAUUAAAUAAACUUUUUUUCUUUCUUAACAUUAAUUUAUGAAUAUUUGAUCCUUAAAAAAGAUUAAAAGAUAAAAUUACCUUAGGGAUAACAGCGUAAUUUUUUUUAAGAGUUCUAAUCGAAAAAAAAGAUUGCGACCUCGAUGUUGGAUUAAAAUUAAUUUUUGGUGUAGAAGUUAAAAAUUUAGGUCUGUUCGACCUUUAAAAUUU
rnacentral:rRNA from 1 species